UAACGCAAUGAUGUUGCCCACCUCUCUAUCUCGGAUAACCCUUGCAAGGUUCCAGAGAUUGAAAUUCCUAUCUGUUGACGGUUUUAAAAACCUCUCAGCUCUUGAAUAUUUGUCUAUCAGCGAUUGUCCAAAUCUCACAUCCUUUCCAGAGGCAGGCUUACCAUCGUCGCUUCUACAAUUAUAUAUCUAUGGCUGUCCCCUGUUGAAAAAACGAUGCAAAAGGACUGAAGGUCAAGAUUGGUCCAAAAUAGCCCAUAUUCCUCGCAUUCGAAUAGAUGGCAGAUUCAUCUCUGAUCCAGAUCUGGAGGAGGAAGAAUGAGCUCUCCUAAUCUCAGAAAUGAAGAAAAUAGAAUAACAUCAGAGAAUUACUUCAUUCUUUCCUCACACUAAUCCUGUAAUUUGGUUUAUCAAUGCUUAUUUACAGAAUUGUCAAGAAGAUGCUUAAUUGGUGUAGCAGAUAUUUUGAAGUGAGACGAACAGUUCGUGGAGCCGGUUUUAUGAUAUGUGAGGAAAUGGACCUGAUAGUAUGCAAGUCUUAUUUGGAUAUCAGUUCAAUGACAAUGCAGUGUAAUGACAGAGCUCUCCACAGGGACAAAACCAGGAUUUUAUUUUGAGGAGGGCUGAAAUUCUUCUUUGGUAUGGUCUGUGGAUUCAUCAUUUAUGUAAACUGGAUUUCAUCCGGCAUGUGUUCAUCUUCUGUUCGGGCAGCCGAGUACUUCAAGUUUGAAUCGGCAUGUCGCUUUAUACAAUUGAUCAGAAUGUUCUCUCUCAAAGCCAUCUUAUAUUAUCCUGCUGUGCUAUGAACCUGUAAUGACAAUUUUGAUACAAUGAUGUGAAUUUGUGUAUACAAAAUCUGAGACAUACUAUCUGAUGUAUUUGCUUUUUUUCCCUCCUUCGGAACGUAGAUUGGUACAAUUAAUUUCAGUCUUUGAUCAUUAAUAUAUGGAAAUUUCAUGAUUGGUUUUUAA